GGCCCGCUGAGGAGGAAAGGCGGCGCGGGCGCCGCCCCCACCGCCUCGGGGUUGGGGCCUAGGAGGGUGGGGACCGCAGGGUCGUACCACGAGGUUUUUAACUAAUACCUGGAGGGAGUAACUUUAGCUGGAGAAACCCCACAAAAACCUUCCUCUCGGUGAGGAACCGGCCCCUGAAGCCUGAGAGACCUUAAAAUAAACCUGUUCCCAGCUGCCGAUGGCACCCCACCCCCACCGGCGAGGAAACGCCGGAGAGGGUCCCAGAGCCCCCAGGGAGACUUCCUGGGGGCGCUGCCUCCGAAAGACGCCCCUCCCCAGGUCAUCCUCCUGUUAGCAGACAGCAAAAGAAAACGUGCCCAGGGAACAAGAACAGAAACACCCACCGAAAUUUGGUUCCCUGCAAGAAAUAGUCAUUGCUGGGAGGAGAAUCUACACUUUUUUUUUUUAGAAUCUACAAUUUUUUUAGGAUAGUCACUAUCCACGCCCCCCCCUCCCGUAAUCUGUGGCCUUUGUUUCCAAUGAAGUCACCCCUCACACAUCUACACAAAAUUUUUCAUGACUUUCAAGGAGUCCGGAGAAUCUAUUAGGUCCAUGAAGUCUAUGGACUCCAAACGGAAAUGUCCUGCCCUGCCCGGUAGCUCAGUUGGUCGGAGCGUCGUCCCGCUGAGCCGGGUGGUGGCAGGUUCCACUCGGUGAGCACAUGCCGGAGCCUGCUGGUGUGUGCACGGAUCGGUGGAACCGCCGACCUCUCCCUCUCCCCGCCCUCAUUCCCUCCCCUCCCCCCGCCCUCUCCCCGCCUUCCUCUCUCUCUAAAAUCAAUUAAAAAAAGAAAAUGUCCUUACCUGAGGAAGAAAGGAAAUUAAUGCUACUUGAAUACCUGCUCUGUGUUAGGUUUUGUUACGUGUUUUCAAAGCCUUAAUAAAGGCUUUCAGCAUCUUCAAAAUAA